GGCCAAGUUACUAAGGGUCAACGGUGGAUGCCUAGGGGCCAAGAGCCGAAGAAGGGCGUGGCAAGACUGCGAUAAGCCCCGGUGAGCUGUCUAGCAAGCUUAGCCGGGGAUUCCCGAAUGGGGAAACCCACUUUGGGUCAUACCAAAGUACUCGCUCCGGCGAGAGGUAAGCGGGUGAACUGAAACAUCUAAGUAACCCGAGGAAAGUAAAUCAACCGAGACUCCCUGAGUAGUGGUGAACGAAAGGGGAAGAGCCCAAACCUGGCUGGCUUAGUGGUAUGAGAGCCUAUGUCUGUCAGGUGUUGUAACGUGCGUCCGCUCCAUUCUCAGUAGGGAGCAAGGAGUAAGAAAUCCGCCGCCUAGCCGAACGUUCCUGGAAAGGACGAUCAUAGAGGGUGAAAGUCCCGUAGGCGAAAGGCAGCGGACUCCUGAUGCGUCGUUGAGUACCACGGGACACGUGAAAUCUUGUGGG
rnacentral:rRNA from 1 species